GCGAUCCGCUGGAGAGGUGGAGGGGGAGCCAUGGCUCUGCAGCCUGCGAACGACCCCUCCUUUCCCCCUGCUCCCUCCCGCCAGAGCCCUCCAUAUCCUUGGGCUUCAGAGGACGCUGCCUCCCCCAUCUCUGAGUGACCCUCACCCACAUCUCACGCCGCUGAGCCUCGGUCUGCCUGCCCCUCCUGGCCUGCCACCCAGAAGGUGCUUAUCGAGAUAUGGCCCUAAACUACAAGUGCUGAAGAUGCUGUUCCGCUGACUCACACCUGGGAGAAGACGAUGGUAUGACUAACUCAGGCUUCUUGAGAGUUGUCUCAAUCUGAUUUCUGUUGCCAACGACCCAGCACCACAGACUGGGUGAGGUGAGAAGAGAAGGGGUUUAUUUUGGUUUCAUUUCUGGUUUACUGUCAUGGGCCACAUCUGGGGAUGGCUUUUCUGCUGGCAGUGUCCCAAGAUGCAAGACAUCAUGUGGAAUUAAACUCGAGUCGUCUGGAAGUGCAGCCAAUGCUGUUGAUCCCUGAGCCACCUCUCCAGGCUGACUUCUGACCCAGCUGUGCCGUUGUCCUCAGCUCCUGAAAUAAGAACAGGCAGGAAGUGUUCUGUGGCAUGCCUGGAAACACACACAGAAGCAAAGUCCAUGAGCUUUCUGGGCAGAGGGGCAGCAUGGUGGGAAGCAUGGGUGGCGAUAGCAGGUGGAGAUUACCUCUUCUCUGGAUGUUCUUCCUGGAGGAUGCUGACGCCAAGCCAAGGAGUUUCCACACUGUCAUGGCAUGGUAACCUUGGACUGUGAGUAGGGUGUUCCAGAUUUCCUGGAUCUUAAGUCAGGCAUACAUGGGGGCGCUGGUGAGCACCUAAGUUGUGCGGUGAGCCUGACCCCAUGUGCAGGUCUAGAUUCUGUAGUAUUUCAAAUUAGUAUGCAUGGCUUGGCUGGAGAAAUCAUCCAGCAGAAAAAAUGUGGGACCUAGGGUGGAGGCUGAGGGAGUCCAGGGGACCGAAUUCUCCCUCAGGGACACUGUCACUAUUACUGUUGAUUUUAUGUGAUUAUGAAUAAAGAAAUCCAAACACGGAGUAAGAUAAAUCUUCACAAUCUUGUUCCUUAGCCAUGAUGGUAGUCAUGUUUGGUCACUGUUGAAGUUCCUGGACCAACCAACUACUUCAGACAGAUCCCCUCUGAGAUGUUUCCUCUCAUUCGGUGGCCUCCCCGCAAAAAUCUUUUGUGCUCAGAAAUAGCAUUCUUUUCCCUCCAGGCAUGGCCAGCUCCGUACCCUUGACUGUCAUCUGCCAUUCUCGUUCAGGAAGACGCCUGGGCCAAGUUGUCGUGCUCCAGUUCCCACCGCUUCUUCCAUAGCCUAAAGUUGCCUGGACUAGAAGGUUCUGGGCUCCCUGUGCGGCCAGUGUCCAAAGUGACCCAGGACGGUGCCUCUGUGCUCUCUCCAGCCUUGAGCCAUACCUGGCUGCUGUAGGAGCCCUCAAGCAGCCCUGCGGAGAAGCUGCGUUGAUGGUCUGGGAUCCCUGGCCAUAGCUAGCACCUGCCUACCUGCCUGGCUCUGGGUUGCUUUGGCAAUGUACACUUAGGGGGCUGGACGCCUGCUCUGCUCAGCUGCAGCUCUCCCGUGACGGUCUGUGUAUCUUGGGCCUGAUUCACCAUGCGCACUGGUUUAGGGUGGGCCAGAGCUGAUUCAGAGUGAAGCCUGCUGGGAUAUUCCUUUCCCAAGGCCUUGCUAGUUAGAAUCACAGGUGCGUGGGCUCACAAAACGGCUCAGUCUGUAAAAGUGCCUGCCGCCAAGCUUGAUGACCUGAGUUUGAACCCUGGGACUCACAAGGUAGAAGGAAGAACCAGCCACAAGUUGUCCUCCCUCUGACCUCCAUGUGGACACUGUGGUACAUAUCCCUAACCCCAUGAAAUAAAUAAGUGUGAUCUAAAAAAAUUUAAAAAAAGAGUUUCAA